AUUUUGAAAAUGGCUGCCUUCGCUAUUCCAAAGAAAACACUCACGCUAGCCACGAGGACAAAAAGCAUUUAUUUUUGUCUGGGCAAAUUUGCCUUCAGACCAAAAGCUUCUCAAGAUGGCAAAUGUUCUGCCUGCUAGGAUGUUGCCAGAUAAAACAAUUACUUACUAGAGUCAAAAUAACUCCAAAAGCUAUGCACUGAAGAAGGCAAUGAACAAUGAAAAGGGGUCAGGCGUGGUGGCUCACGCCUAUAAUUCCAACACUUUGGGAGGCUGAGGCCAGAGGGCGGCUUGAGUCCAGGAGUUCAAGGCUGCAGUGAGCUAUGAUUGCACCACUGCACUUCAGCCUGGGUGUCAGAGCGAGACCCUGUCUCUAAAUAUAUAAAUUAAAAAGAAUGAAAAGAAUACUUCACCUCAGACCUCAGCCUUUCAUCCUUCAGCUGAAUGGAAUAUUUGGAUCUCACCUAUGAGCUCAAUAAGAAAAGAAAAACACAAAUGACUGAAAGCAGGACUUCAGCAGCCCUGAGAAAUCAUGGACGGGAAUCCACCUUUGUUUACUACAAAACACCCUGCUUCACGGUUUCUCAUUGUGCUACCUUCCUUCGGGGGAACCCCAGGAUUUCACAGGCUGAUAUCCCCAGCUACAUCCAAGUUUCCAGAAAUGAGGAUCCAUAGGCACAAAGUGAGGUGUCCCCAACCCUCCCUUUUUACAGCCCAUGCCUGAUAUUUAUCGGAACGUCCACAAGGCGAUGGUGAACGGUGGCCAAAUGAGAAGCUCAGUGUCUGGGAAAAUGAUUGAAAAUGGCCAAGUGCCACAGUGAGAGUUGUUUGUUCUGGGAAUGGAAGGAGGAAAUUGUCAGAGGAAGUGAAAUAGGAAAUGAAGAGAUCAAAGGGAGGAGGAAAUAAGAUUGAAUUGAGCCCUUUUUGGAUUCAACUUUGCACUCUUAACCCAUGUGAGGCAAAAAGAUUAGCCUUUAAACAGCUGGAGUUGGGGAGAAACACUUUCCAACGGGUGCAUCCUGGCGACUGUUAGCUCCCACAUCCCACCCCACAAAUGGACUGCAGCAGGGGAGCUGAGGGAAGCCAGAUCCGUUUCCUACAGAAAAUCCAGUGGUUUCUGAUGGCAGGAGGGAGGCGGUCUAUCUUCACUGCGGAUGGCGAGGUGCCUUUUGGAGGAGGAGGAUGGAGAGAAAGGGUCUCCAACAGCGAACCUUUGUCCUGCAAUGCAAAUGAACCUCUGCAAAACAGGGCGCAGACAAUGCCAGCCUAGUCCUCUGCGCGAAGCGAUCCAUCUGCAGCUAUUUUGUUAACCUGAUGUUUCUUACAUUCUUUCUCUCAUACAAAAUACUUGAUUUUGACAGCUGUGAAUUUUAAACAACCAUUCUGUGUAUGUUUUUCUAAUUUUGUGUAUUCAGAUUGUUUCUCCAUAUUGGGGGGGUUGGAAGCCAAGUACUUUACAUUCCUUCGUUUAGAGAUUUCAUGCUUUUCGAAAGUCGUGGCGGUUCUGAUCGCUAAACAAAGUAGAAAUGAAGUGUGCUCACCAGCAGCAUUGGAAUGACCGGGGAGUGCAGAAGCACUUUUGAAAUAAAAAAGGUUGCACAAGCGGACUGGAGGCAGGGCUCAGGAGUGACACAUCACUCAGUCACACUCUGGUGGCCCCAGGAAGCUGCGUCUGCCCUCACUUACCUGUAAAAUGGGGCUGCAACAACAUUCUCACAAGGCAGAAAAUAAAGAUCUCAUAUAUCCAG